GGAGAGAUAGCUGAGUGGUUAAGAGUACUGUCUGCCCUUCCAGAGGGCCUGGGUUCGAUUCCCAGCUUCUCCA
rnacentral:tRNA from 1 species